rnacentral:rRNA from 1 species
GGCUCAGGAUGAACGCUGGCGGCGUGCUUAACACAUGCAAGUCGAACGAAGCACCUCGCCCGAUGAAAUGGAGUGCUUGCACAAAGUGGAAUCAAUUGAGGUGACUGAGUGGCGGACGGGUGAGUAACGCGUGGGUAACCUGCCCUAUACAGGGGGAUAGCAGUUGGAAACGACUGAUAAUACCGCAUAAGCGCACAGGACCGCAUGGUCUGGUGUGAAAAACUCCGGUGGUAUAGGAUGGACCCGCGUCUGAUUAGCUAGUUGGUGAGGUAACGGCUCACCAAGGCGACGAUCAGUAGCCGACCUGAGAGGGUGACCGGCCACAUUGGGACUGAGACACGGCCCAAACUCCUACGGGAGGCAGCAGUGGGGAAUAUUGGACAAUGGGGGAAACCCUGAUCCAAGCGACGCCGCGUGAACGAUGAAGUAUUUCGGUAUGUAAAGUUCUAUCAGCAGGGAAGAUAAUGACGGUACCUGACUAAGAAGCACCGGCUAAAUACGUGCCAGCCGCCGC